CGAAUGGCUCAUUAAAUCAGUUAUCGUUUAUUUGAUAGUACCUUACUACUUGGAUAACCGUGGUAAUUCUAGAGCUAAUACAUGCUAAAAAUCCCGACUCACGGAGGGAUGUAUUUAUUAGAUUAAAAACCAAUGCCCUUCGGGGCUUCUUGGUGAUUCAUAAUAACUUCUCGAAUCGCAUGGCCUUGCGCCGGCGAUGGUUCAUUCAAAUUUCUGCCCUAUCAACUUUCGAUGGCAGGGUCUUGGCCUGCCAUGGUUUCAACGGGUAACGGAGGGUUAGGGCUCGACCCCGGAGAAGGAGCCUGAGAAACGGCUACUACAUCCAAGGAAGGCAGCAGGCGCGCAAAUUACCCAAUCCCGACACGGGGAGGUAGUGACAAUAAAUACUGAUACAGGGCUCUUUUGGGUCUUGUAAUUGGAAUGAGUACAAUUUAAAUCCCUUAACGAGGAACAAUUGGAGGGCAAGUCUGGUGCCAGCAGCCGCGGUAAUUCCAGCUCCAAUAGCGUAUAUUAAAGUUGUUGCAGUUAAAAAGCUCGUAGUUGAACCUUGGGCCUGGCUGGCCGGUCCGCCUCACCGCGUGCACUGGUUCGGCCGGGCCUUUCCCUCUGGGGAGCCCCAUGCCCUUCACUGGGUGUGGCGGGGAACCAGGACUUUUACUGUGAAAAAAUUAGAGUGUUCAAAGCAGGCCUAUGCUCGAAUACAUCAGCAUGGAAUAAUAGAAUAGGACGUGUGGUUCUAUUUUGUUGGUUUCUAGGACCGCCGUAAUGAUUAAUA
rnacentral:rRNA from 1 species